GCGGGAGUAGCUCAAUCGUACAGCUCCCGCUUCGUAUGCGGGAAGACCUGGGUUCGAUUCCCGGCUGCUUUC
rnacentral:tRNA from 1 species